ACAAAGAUGGCGACGUCCAUAAGUAAUUGUAUCGACAAAAACAAUGAACAGACUUUACAUCUUAUUUCGACGCAGUUCUUUCAAAUGGUUCCUGUUAGACGGAUCCAGUGGGGAGAAAAAUCCCUUUGUCUUGGGAAUAUAGGGAUUGAGGAUCAACAAGCUGUGCUUGAGGCAACUGUCUCCAGCACCCUAUGUAAUAAGUACCCAACAUCUCUAAGCUAUCGGAGGGCGUUUGUGAAAUACCUGAUUCAAAAGCUUGAGGACAGUGACGUUGAGCUCUGUGAUGAGAUCUACGAGUUGUACACCGAUCUUCUUCAGGAAACGGAAGAAGAAGAGGACAGUCUCUGUUACAAGUCAUACUUCUUGCCCAACAAGGAAAUAGUGAAUCUCCAAGAGUCUGUGCACAUCAUCUCACAGGGUACUACAGGACUUAGCACCUGGCAGGCUGCCCUGCAUUUAUCAGAAUGGUGUUUUGAACAGGAAUCUCUACUUAAAAACAAGAAUGUGUUGGAGCUUGGCAGUGGACUUGGUUUUCUUGGAGUAGCAUUAUGUAAACAGUGUAAGCUAGACUCCUUCACUUUUAGUGACUUUCAUCCACAAGUCUUAUUCCUUCUGAUGAAAAACAUUGAAAUCAAUUUCCUGAAUGAACAAUAUUCUUUGGAAUGCCCUACUUUUCUGGAAAACAGUGAGUGCAAAGACAGGAAAAUGUUGAAAAAGAUCCAAAGAACUUGUUAAAUUAAAUGAUAAAAGCUUCUAUAUAAUUUUAUAAUGCUAAUUUAUAGAUUCAUUGUACUGUAGUAUAUUUUACUUGUAUCAACGGGCAUAUAUACUUAGAAACUUGUAAAUGGAGCAGGGAUUUGAACUGAAUUGUAUUUUCUAUUUGCUUAAAUGCACAUUUUGUUUAUUUUUUUUCGUCUUAUAUUUAGAUUAGCUUACCGUAUACAAUAUACAUGUAUGGAAGUGAAGAAAGAUAAAUCACUGUAAUAAAAUUUGCCACAUUUUC
rnacentral:misc_RNA from 1 species